rnacentral:rRNA from 1 species
AUUGAACGCUGGCGGCAUGCCUUACACAUGCAAGUCGAACGGCAGCACGGGUUCUUGCACCUGGUGGCAAGUGGCGAACGGGUGAGUAAUACAUCGGAACAUGUCCUGUAGUGGGGGAUAGCCCGGCGAAAGCCGGAUUAAUACCGCAUACGAUCUACGGAUGAAAGCGGCGGACUUUCGCGCCUCGCGCUAUAGGGUUGGCCGAUGGCUGAUUAGCUAGUUGGUGGGGUAAAGGCCUACCAAGGCGACGAUCGGUAGCUGGUCUGAGAGGACGACCAGCCAGACGGGGAGUGAGAAACGGCCCAGACACCGACGGGAGGCAGCGGUGGGGAAUUUUGGACAAUGGGCGAAAGCGGGAUCCAGCAAUGCCGCGUGUGUGAAGAAGGCCUUCGGGUUGUAAAGCACUUUUGUCCGGAAAGAAAUCCUUGGCCCUAAUACGGUCGGGGGAUGACGGUACCGGAAGAAUAAGCACCGGCUAACUACGUG